rnacentral:rRNA from 1 species
AUGGUCUGCGGCUGUGGCCGCUGGCAACACAACGCCGACGGUCAACGCGCCCUAGUGCAGAUGCUGCCCGCCGCGCGCCACGCACGGAGCAGAGUCGUCCUAGCCGCCGGGCGUGGAGAGUCUGGCGCCGAGCAUUGGCGUGAGACAUCCCUGGCCGCAGGGCAUGUAGAUGAGGAAGGAGGAGAAGAAGCAAAGAGAAGAGCGCAAUGGAUUCACCGGCGAGCGGUCGCAGCGCUCCGGCGUACGGCGGCGCGGGGACGACCAGCUCUCGGCGAGAGGAAGGCGUCGGCUGCUGCCUGGGUUGGAGGCGAAUCGACGGGAGCUCGGGCGUGGUUGCAGGCAGCAGGGACGCCCGGUCAGGCGGCGGUGCACGACGAGCAGCUCGCCACCCCGUAUGGGCGUGGUUGCAGGCAUCUGGGAGAAGAAAGGAGUGUAGGAGGAGAAAAGGAUAGAGACAGAGGAGUGGGGCGGCGUUCGGGACGGCUGUCGUUCAUGCCGAACGAGCUUCUUCGCUGA